rnacentral:snRNA from 1 species
AAAAAGGGCUUGUGCCAUGUAUGGCACAUCGCGAUCUCCUGCAUGGGGAUUGUGGUGCGGAAUCGAUAGAGAUUUCGGAAGCAUAAUUUUUAUAACAGGGGCUGCCUGUGAGCUGCUCUCCGGACGACCCG